rnacentral:rRNA from 1 species
GCGGAGGAAAAGAAACCAACAGGGAUUGCCUCAGUAACGGCGAGUGAAGCGGCAACAGCUCAAAUUUGAAAUCUGGCGUCUUUGGGCGUCCGAGUUGUAAUUUGCAGAGGAUACUUCGGCUUUGGGCCCGCUCCAGGUUCUUUGGAACAGGACGCCAUAGAGGGUGAGAGCCCCGUCUCUGGGUGGGACCCCAUUGCCAUGUGAAGUGCCUUCGACGAGUCGAGUUGUUUGGGAAUGCAGCUCAAAAUGGGAGGUAAAUUUCUUCCAAGGCUAAAUACCGGCUGGAGACCGAUAGCGCACAAGUAGAGUGAUCGAAAGAUGAAAAGUACUUUGGAAAGAGAGUCAAACAGCGCGUGAAAUUGUUGAAAGGGAAGCGCUUGCAGUCAGACUUGGCUGCCCGGUUCGGUAGUGUCUUGUACGCUGCCUAUGCCGCGGCGGUCAGGCCAGCAUUGGUUUGGGCGGUUGGUUAAAGGUUGCGGGAAUGUAGCUCCUCUCGGGGAGUGUUAUAGCCCGCGGCAUAAUACAGCCUGUCCGGACCAAGGAACGCGCUUCGGCU